rnacentral:lncRNA from 10 species
CUAGAUGGUAUAAUGAGACUACUUCAUGGAACUGUUAUAUGAGAAUAACUACUGUGUGUUACUUAAGGCUGUGUGCUUAAGAAGUGAGGGAAGCUUUCCAUUCUUUGUCCCUUCCCUCCUCUUUCGGAUGGAUUUCUACUUGCAAAACAACUUUCAAGGCUACAUGUAAGCAAAGUGAAACCUCCGUAAGACUGGGCUGCUGAAUAAUUGUGGGGAACAGAGGUUGCCCUCUCUCAAGCCUGUUCUCUGUUGUGUGGACUUUAUGUAAAUAAGAAAUAAUACAAAUUUGUAAUGUUAAGGAUGUUCGUGUCAUAGUUUUCUUUUCCUGGAUAUAUAAGAAGAGUGAAUUUCCAAGCCUGCAUGUGAUUAGAUUGGGACCAAGUGACUAAGCAAUAAAAGGAAUUUUGAUGAGCAAGAGUGAUGUGUUGCAUGAGGUCAGGACAAUGCUUUCUGUGCUCUCCUUUCACACCUGUAGUUGGAAGAGAAGAAUCCUCAAUGAUGGAGUUGCAAAAUGGAAGUAGCCAGGCUGCUAAGUUAAAUCUGAGAGAAAAUCCACCAAGGAGAGCUGCAUGAGAUUUAUCAGACCAUAAUGUGAAGAAAAAAUAAAUGUUUGUUGGGUUAAGCCACUGAGGUUUCAAGGUUUGACUGUUGCAGCUGUUGAAGUCACUGUCUUGACACACAGAGCCAAUGACUGAAUAGAAAUCGUACUGAAACAUUUAGAUCAAGUGAGCCUUCCAUCCUCCAUAUGAAAUCUGUGUGUGGAUUGGAGAAUAAAUGCACAUCUCAGGCUACUACUUUCCGUUGGUUCCUCUUGAAUUUCCCUGCAUGUGCACAUGGUGUCCAGCCAGGGGGUCACCGUCUUGGGAAACCUAACCUAGAGGAGGAGUAUAAUGGUGUAACUAGAAUUUAGUCAUCAUGAGAGUGUAGCUGAAAAUGGGCAGGAAUAGGCUCUCUCUGGCAUUUCCUUAUCUGACAAAGGAAACUUCUUUUUAAAAGAAAGGCAAUUGUCUUAAGACCCCCUCCCUAGGAAUAUCAUCAAAUAACUAGAAAAGAUUAACCACUGGAGAAGAGAAGAGACGAAAAGCUAUCACCAUGCUGAGAGAGACUUUUCAAUCACUCUUCUGAGGGCAGCUUCAAGAGAUCAUCUGAGAGACUUUAUCUACAUAAUAAGAAAACCUUUGUUCACAGUAUAGCUCUGCCCCUCACCUUCCCAUAACUUGCUGUCCCAUUCAGUUUCCUAAAAGAAUAAUUUACAAGAUAACAUCUACCUCUUGGAUUUAUUCAAUUCCACUAAAAAUCAUUUAGAACCCCUCAAAUUGUCUAUAUUUUCCCUUCUCCUUUUCUCUUAUGAAGAGGGUAUAUAAGCCUCAUCUACUGUGUAUUCUUUGAGUUUCAUAUUUUAUAUGGCUUCCAUGCUUAUGCACAUUAACAAAUGUCUAUGAAUUUUCUCCUAUUGUUUCUUGUCAGUCAUUGCAGUGAACCUUCAGAGAGCAGCAGAGGGAGGGGCAUUUUCCUUCUACCCUACAGUUCUAAACUGUACUUGUUAUAUGUAUGUUUGUAGAAGGUAUUGUUGGUGUUUCUGGAACAUGAUUUGUUCAUUAAAGCAUUUUAAAUG